CGCGGCCUAUCAGCUUGUUGGUGGGGUUACGGCCCACCAAGGCGACGACGGGUAGCCGGCCUGAGAGGGUGUACGGCCACACUGGGACUGAGAUACGGCCCAGACUCCUACGGGAGGCAGCAGUGGGGAAUAUUGCACAAUGGGCGCAAGCCUAAUGCAGCGACGCCGCGUGGGGGAUGACGGCCUUCGGGUUGUAAACCUCUUUCAGCAGGGACGAAAAUGACGGUACCUGCAGAAGAAGCUCCGGCCAACUACGUGCCAGCAGCCGCGGUAAUACGUAGGGAGCGAGCGUUGUCCGGAAUUAUUGGGCGUAAAGAGCUCGUAGGCGGUUCAGUAAGUCGGGUGUGAAAACUCAAGGCUCAACCUUGAGACGCCACUCGAUACUGCUGUGACUUGAGUCCGGUAGAGGAGUGUGGAAUUCCUGGUGUAGCGGUGAAAUGCGCAGAUAUCAGGAGGAACACCAGCGGCGAAGGCGGCACUCUGGGCCGGUACUGACGCUGAGGAGCGAAAGCAUGGGGAGCAAACAGGAUUAGAUACCCUGGUAGUCCAUGCCGUAAACGUUGGGCACUAGGUAUGGGAUCAUAUCAACGGAUUCCGUGCCGUAGCUAACGCAUUAAGUGCCCCGCCUGGGGAGUACGG
rnacentral:rRNA from 1 species